AGCUGUCUGCUGACGAGCACAAGGUCAGGAGAGCAGUCGGCUCUUGCAAGCCCCGCCUGCUCUUCCAGCGCACGCGGUUCUCUCCCCCGUGCCCCACUCGCAGCGGCAGUGCUGAUUGGCUGGCUGGCUUUGUGUGUGUGUGUGUGUGUAUCUCAGGGCGGAUUGCCCGUUAGCAGCGCCUUCGUCCUCCCCCUUCACUUGUGUCGUCUCCCAUCCGCAGCCCCCCACCCCACCCGUCCCGCUCUUUGCGAGUCGUAUUGCCGUUGUCUUUCGUCCUGGAACGCCGUGACCGAUGCCGUCCCCAGCGAUGCUGCGCACCAGCAGCGUGCUGCUGGACAAGUCGAUGUUCGCUGCGAAGCGCCGUGUCAUUGUACCGAUCCAGCCCACGCCCGGCUACCCGGCGCACUUUAUCAAGGCGUCCUUCACGACGGAUCCGCUCAAGGAGAAGCAGAAGGCCCGCUUCUCCUCCGGCGGUGACGCGAUGCGCGAGGUGCAGGACAUCCCCAAGCGGCUGGAGGGCCAGCGGUCGCGUGCCGAGCUCACAUCGCGCGGUGACGAGGACUUUGCGGCGCUCAUCGAGUUCAUCCAGGGCGCCUCAUACGACCAGCUCAUCUCCGGUCGGCGCUUUCGAAAGAUCUAUGAGAAGCUGUCCGAGAACGACGACAUGUUUGUCUGGCUGUGCCACACCGCCAUGGCGGUACUGAACCCCGGCGACAUGCGCUCGCGGCUCAUGCACAAUCACCUCAAGGCGCUCGCGGAGGCCGUGGCGAGUGGCGAGAUGACCCAGCGAACGGCGUUUCGCUUCUUCGAGUCCGCCGUGCGCAGCCCGGCCUACCGCGAGAUCGCAGCUCGCCAGCUGGAAACUGGCGCGGCUACUCGCCUGGCUGGCUUGGCAGCGGCGGCGGACGUGAUGCGCGAGAUGGGGCUGACACGGCGUCCCAUGUCGUCCUACUUUGAGCUGUAUCAGCGCAUCGUGGAGCGCAGCGAGGCCAUGACGCCGUGGGGCUUCCCGCCCCUCUUCCAGUUCGAAGAGCGGCUGGCGCUGGAGCCACGACUGAAGUUCUUCUCACGUGCGGGGCAGCAGCAGCUGGAGCGACGCCGUCGAGGCUCUAUCUUCUCCCCGCACACAAUCCUGCAGGGGCGGCGCAUCUUCUGGAUUCCGCCGACGUGGAACCGUGCCGGUCGCUUCAUUGGGCCGCAUAUAAACCUGUACCCCGGCCUCACGCCUGACUAAGCCAACGGUGUCAAGCAACCGAGGUGUUCCGUGUGCGCGUGCGCACGUGCGGUGCGUGAAGGACGGAAGAGGCGAGCAAUGGCCUCGACGGAGGGGAUAACGGAAGCGUCCGCCUUGCCCUCUUCCUGUGUGUGUGUGUGUAUGUGUGUGUGACUGUGCCUGUGUCUGCGUGUGCGUGUGCGUGUGCGUGUGCGUGUGUGUGUGUGUGCACUAUCUGCGCAGUCGCUGAAGCGGUGUUAACAGUCUUCCCGCAUCCGAAGCACAGAGGCAAAGGACAUAGGCCCAAACCGUGUCUGCGCGUCUGCGAGGGUGUGUGUGUGUGUGUGUUGCUACAAGUUCGGUGGUAGUGAGAGGGCAACACGUGCGAAGGAUCUGUGACCAGCACGGCGGCAGUAGGGGCAGGCAGGCAUGAGAUUGCUCGUCUGCAUGCCUUCCGUCCGCCUCCACAGCCACAUGGGCAGGCCCGACUCCACUGCAUUCACAUCGCCUUGUUUCCCUUCCCCUCCUCGCUCUCUAUACUUAUGCGGCACAUCUGCACGGUCACCGGCCCUCUCUCCACUACACAAG
rnacentral:misc_RNA from 1 species